ACCUCCCCCCUUGCAGUUAAGGGUGUUGGGCCAUUAAUUGAAAGUUUGCUGGUUCAAAAAUCAGUGCCAGCAAGCUGGAAAAAUCUGCCGUUCUGUCCUUGAGCAAGGCCGUUAGCCCCCAACAACAACUGCUCCCUGGGCCCCAAAGACGUGGAUGUCCAUUAAGGCAGCCCCCCCACACUUCUAUGAUUCAGAGGGGUUGGGUUAAAUGCAGGAGGACACAUUUCUGUUGAAUGCAUUCAGUUGUGCAACUGACUAUGUACCCCCUUUCUCUUUUGCAGCGGAGGAGAUAAACCAGGAAACGCUCUUGCUUUUGGACGACUCAACUAUAGCCUGAAGUUAAAGAAGAACAUAAAAGCCUUACACGCAGUGAGUAUUCUGUAAACGGCACCUUUACGCACACAUGAUUACAUAGGACUGUGGACACACCAAGCGACACUCAAACCUUGAGCAGUAGCCAGGUCUUGCCGGGUACAUGUUGAAAGAUUUGUGUAUUUUGAAAACUGAAUGUUAAAAGGUGUAGCGGUUUUCUUCCUGGAAAGGAGAGGAGGACCAAAAUGCAGCGUGGUUAUUUAUAAACAUCUUUAAUGAAAGAUGAAAACGUGAACACUAUACAAAAUAAGAAACCGUGGAAAAAACCAAAACAGUCCUAACUGGUGCAAGAGACAGGAACAAUCACCCACCAGAUACCUAAAGAAUAUGGCUGCCUAAAUAUGGUUCCCAAUCAGAGACAACGAUAAACACCUGCCUCUGAUUGAGAACCACCCCAGGCAACCAUAGACUUACCUAGAACACUCAACUGAACACAACCCCAUAGACUACAAAAACCCCUAGACAAAACAAGACACAUAAAUCACCCAUGUCACACCCUGGCCUAACCAACAUAAUAAAGAAAACACAGAAUACUAAAGCCAGGGCGUGAUAAAAGGAAUGUAUGAUUAUUUGAAUAGCUUGUGGUCACAACAGAUGCAAAUGUGAGAGGGCAGCCCAGAUGACCAAGUGGCUGAACAACAACAUAUGGCUGGCAAACUAAUUUGUGGAGUACAUGAAGUAAACCAGACAGAAUGGGGCCAAGACAGUAGAGAUAGUCCGAGAGUAUCCACAUCUGCUGGAUACUCCAGGCAUGGUAGGUUCAGUUGUUUCCAAAAAUAGACUUUGAAUUUGAUUCUGUUUUCUGUGAUUAACUAACCUGGCCGACGUGACCCACGUGACUCUGCACAGGGAGAGCUGUUACCACACUAGUUUGGAAAGAGGCUGUUUGUUAAUGAAAUAUCUUCUCAUAGAUUGUGCAAUGGGGUUUGAUUGGUUCUCUCAAAUGUAUUUUUUUCCCCGGGAUUUGAAAAUCCAACCAUUGUAACAGAAGCGGGCGGCGCUCAGGGGCUGUAUGUGUUUGAUUGAGAAAGUCACAAAGGAGAGACAACCAGAAAAAGCACAGCUCCCUUCAUUAUUGACGCAUUGUACUGACAUCAAAGAGCCAUUCCAGAUUGCGGUAAGGAGGACUUUUAGAGUUAUGUGUUAGCCAGACUAAUGAUUAACGGCAAUAGAAAAGUCAUUGUUUGACUGCCUUACUACAGAUUGCUCAGGACUUCUCUAUUUUAAAAACUCGGACUAAUCGGGGAAACUCAAUGAGAACUGGAUUUUGGUUUUCAAUGACUAAUCGGGGGAUUUUAGUGAUGUUCUAUAUAUAUAUGCAGGCCUCAUCCACUACCCUGAGAGCACUUGAUUCAGUCUAUCAUGUAGCCCUCAGGUUCAUUACAAAUCAAAAACGUCUAACACAUCAUUGUGAUCUCUACAGAGCUGCUGGCUGGUCAUCAUUGUCUCUGUUCUUUUUUUGUCAGGUCUGUAAAUAAAUAUAAAUUACAUUCCCAUUCUCAUUUGCUUCUACCAGUACCAAAACUCAGAACAGGUCAUGGUAGAAAUAGUUUUAGCUCCGUGGUCCUGAAAUUCUCUCCUGAACAUUUAAAAAUGUGAUUAUCUAGUUUCAUUGGUGGAGUUGAAACACUUGAUUGAUGUAUAUGUCAUAGAAGAGUGUACUUGUCUUUAGGAAAGCUGAUUUUAGUCAAGACUUUUGUGUUUUUAACGUAAUAUGUAAUUGUUGUACUGUAUGUGUGUUUAUAGUUUUGUUUAAUGUUGUGGUAGUGUAUGUAAGUUGUUUGUCUGAAAUGUUGUUCCCCCUGCUGCUAUUGGACCAGGUAUCUCUUGGAAAAGAUAUGUUAUCUCAAUGAGAACAACCUAUAUAAAUAAAGGUAAAAUAAAUAAAAUGACGAAAAAUGUAGCCUUGCCAGCCGAGAGAAGCAAGCCGAAGAUCUUCCUCUUUCGAAGUGCAGAUUCACAAGUUGACAUCGCUUUAAGACUUCUGCCAGCUAUCCUCCCAACACCAGUCUCCAAGAUUCCCUGUACUCCCUGUUCACCCACGACUGCGUGGCCACGCACGCCUCCAACUCAAUCAUCAACUUUACAGACGACCCGACAGUGGUAGGCUUGAUUACCAACAACGACGAGACGGCCUACAGGGAGGAGGUGAGGGCCCUCGGAGUGUGGUGUCAGGAAAAUAACCUCACACUCAACGUCAACAAAACUAAGGAGAUGAUUGUGGACUUCAGGAAACAGCAGAGGGAACACCCCCCUAUCCACAUCGAUGGAACAGUAGUGGAGAGGGUCGCAAGUUUUAAGUUCCUCGGCAUACACAUCACAGACAAACUGAAUUGGUCCACCCACACGGACAGCAUCGUGAAGAAGGCGCAGCAGCGCCUCUUCAACCUCAGGAGGCUGAAGAAAUUCGGCUUGUCACCAAAAGCACUCACAAACUUCUACAGAUGCACAAUCGAGAGCAUCCUGGCAGGCUGUAUCACCGCCUGGUACGGCAACUGCUCCGCCCACAACCGUAAGGCUCUCCAGAGGGUAGUGAGGUCUGCACAACGCAUCACCGGGGGAAAACUACCUGCCCUCCAGGACACCUACACCACCUGAUGUCACAGGAAGGCCAUAAAGAUCAUCAAGGACAACAACCACCCGAGCCACUGCCUGUUCACCCCGCUAUCAUCCAGAAGGCGAGGUCAGUACAGGUACAUCAAAGCUGGGACCGAGAGACUGAAAAACAGCUUCUAUCUCAAGGCCAUCGGACUGUUAAACAGCCACCACUAACAUUGAGUGGCUGCUGCCAACACACUGACUCAACUCCAGCCACUUUAAUAAUGGGAAUUGAUGGGAAAUGAUGUAAAAUAUAUCACUAGCCACUUUAAACAAUGCUACCUAAUAUAAUGUUUACAUACCCUACAUUAUUCAUCUCAUAUGUACACAUAUAUACUGUACUCUAUAUCAUCUACUGCAUCUUUAUGUAAUACAUGUAUCACUAGCCACUUUAACUAUGCCACUUUGUUUACAUACUCAUCUCAUAUGUAUAUACUGUACUCGAUACCAUCUACUGUAUCUUGCCUAUGCCGCUCUGUACCAUCACUCAUUCAUAUAUCUUUAUGUACAUAUUCUUUAUCCCCUUACACUUGUGUGUAUAAGACAGUAGUUUUGGAAUUGUUAGUUAGAUUACUUGUUGGUUAUUACUGCAUUGUCGGAACUAGAAGCACAAGCAUUUCGCUACACUCGCACUAACAUCUGCUAACCAUGUGUAUGUGACAAAUAAAAUUUGAUUAGAUUUGAAGAUUGUCAGGCAGACAUUCUGACCUACCUUCAAAGAGACCAGAAGGUCCUUCAUAUACUUGCAGCCUGUAAGUUUAAAUUGUGGACAGGCAUAGGGAGAUUGAUGGGGAAAUUAGAUGACAGCAUUUGUAAACCUUUAAUGAAAGGAACGGCAUUCCAAAAGCUAUUUUGCAUAACUAAACAAUCCAAUACAUUUUAAAUUAAUGUUUCUGAAGAUGUAGGCAUCAACCAGGGAUUGGGUAUUGAUUAAUGUAAAUGGCUAUAUAGUAUACACAAUAAAUUGUGUGUGAUGCCAUUGCCAUUGUGUCCUCAUAUUCAAAAAACAAAUGAUUUCUAUCUAACAGGUUAGGACCAACAUGGUUGAGGACCUGUUCCAGGCCUGAGGUGACCAGACCCUAACCAUUUAUGUUGGCUAUUGGGGACUGCUCACAGGGGUUUACAGUCAUUAGUGGACAUGCAUUGAAGCAAGGUGCAUUGCUUGGGGUGCUGGAUGCGUGCUUCAUGUCCUAUUAGGUGUUUGAUAUCAACUUUCCUACAAACCACAGUGUAUCAGCUGCCAGGAACAGAAUCCCCCGCAGCAAGACUGUUGCAAGCAUGUCUUUUUUCCACUGAACAAUAGUGGAUCCGUAUCAGCUCUUGUGUGUAGUGUGAGAAGUGACGGGAGGAAGCCCAGUCCUCCUCCGGCUAAUGUGUUUGUACUCCUGUGAAUUAAUAGAUCAAUGAGCCAUGAGUUUCAGAGGGGUUGGGUUAAAUGCGUAAGACACAUUUUGGUUGAAUAUAUUCAGUUGUGCAACAGACUAGGUAUCGACUUUCCCCUUCAUAUUACAAUGCUAAUAUGCUCUGAAAGCAGUAUUUAUAGCUCUGUUUUAAUGCAUUUGUGGCUGCUUUUUGCCUACUGUAAAGUAUGUGCUUGUUUGCUUUAAGUUCAAGUAUUGCUGCAUAUCUUACUUUAUUAUUAUCUAAAUAUUUCAUAGUUUUGAUGUCUUCACCAUUAUUCUACAAUGUAGAAAAUUGUAAAAAUAAAGAAAAACCCUUGAAUGAGU
ensembl:lncRNA